UUACUACCACCUUCAAAUGGGGGUUGCGUUUAGGCCGUGAAAUUUAGUUUUACUAGGUAGUAAA
rnacentral:tRNA from 1 species